AUUCUGUGGCGCAAUGCAUCAGUGCACCUGGCUGUUAACCAGAAGGCUGGUGGUUCGAGCCCACCCAGGGAUG